UACACUCCUGCGGGAGGCAGCAGUGGGGAAUUUUGGACAAUGGGCGAAAGCCUGAUCCAGCAAUGCCGCGUGAGUGAAGAAGGCCUUCGGGUUGUAAAGCUCUUUUGUCAGGGAAGAAACGGUGAAAGCUAAUAUCUUUUGCUAAUGACGGUACCUGAAGAAUAAGCACCGGCUAACUACGUGCCAGCAGCCGCGGUAAUACGUAGGGUGCAAGCGUUAAUCGGAAUUACUGGGCGUAAAGCGUGCGCAGGCGGUUUUGUAAGUCUGAUGUGAAAUCCCCGGGCUCAACCUGGGAAUUGCAUUGGAGACUGCAAGGCUAGAAUCUGGCAGAGGGGGGUAGAAUUCCACGUGUAGCAGUGAAAUGCGUAGAUAUGUGGAGGAACACCGAUGGCGAAGGCAGCCCCCUGGGUCAAGAUUGACGCUCAUGCACGAAAGCGUGGGGAGCAAACAGGAUUAGAAACCCGAGUAGUCCC
rnacentral:rRNA from 1 species